rnacentral:ncRNA from 1 species
UGACCUAUGAUCAAUAGGUAGGUAAGGGUUUAAGUUAAUAAGUAAUGUACUAGUGUCUACAUAGUUGAUAAUUUCCUUACUUCAAAUCUAAAGCCUAGUAACUCUAUCAUAAAUAGAAUUAAUACAUUAUUUAUAGUUGGCGAUCGGCGAUAUUCUUCGGCUCGAGAGUGACGUUGCUUGGGAACGCAGCCCAAAGCGGAUGAUAAUCUCCAUCCAAGGCUAAAUACGGGAACGAGUCCGAUAGCCGACAAGUACCGCGAGGGAAAGCUGAAAAGAACUUCAGAGAGAGAGUUGAGUUUAAGAGACCAUGUAACCGCCAAGAGGUGCUGCCCUCGACUCGAACGAGACAACCCACCGAACUAAAACAUAUAUAUGUAUGUAUAUAUAUAUAUAUAU